AUGCAGUCGAGGGGCAGCAUGAUUUGUAGCAAUACAGAUUGAUGGCGACCGGCGCACGGGUGAGUAACGCGUAUGCAACUUACCUAUCAGAGGGGGAUAGCCCGGCGAAAGUCGGAUUAAUACCCCAUAAAACAGGGGUCCCGCAUGGGAAUAUUUGUUAAAGAUUCAUCGCUGAUAGAUAGGCAUGCGUUCCAUUAGGCAGUUGGCGGGGUAACGGCCCACCAAACCGACGAUGGAUAGGGGUUCUGAGAGGAAGGUCCCCCACAUUGGUACUGAGACACGGACCAAACUCCUACGGGAGGCAGCAGUGAGGAAUAUUGGUCAAUGGCCGAGAGGCUGAACCAGCCAAGUCGCGUGAAGGAAGAAGGAUCUAUGGUUUGUAAACUUCUUUUAUAGGGGAAUAAAGUGGAGGACGUGUCCUUUUUUGUAUGUACCCUAUGAAUAAGCAUCGGCUAACUCCGUGCCAGCAGCCGCGGUAAUACGGAGGAUGCGAGCGUUAUCCGGAUUUAUUGGGUUUAAAGGGUGCGUAGGUGGUGAUUUAAGUCAGCGGUGAAAGUUUGUGGCUCAACCAUAAAAUUGCCGUUGAAACUGGGUUACUUGAGUGUGUUUGAGGUAGGCGGAAUGCGUGGUGUAGCGGUGAAAUGCAUAGAUAUCACGCAGAACUCCGAUUGCGAAGGCAGCUUACU
rnacentral:rRNA from 1 species